rnacentral:rRNA from 1 species
UACAGAGGGUGCGAACGUUAAUCGGAAUCACUGGGCGUAAAGCGCGUGUAGGCGGUUGCCCAAGUCGGGUGUGAAAGCCUUGAGCUCAACUCAAGAAAUGCACUCGGUACUGGGUGACUAGAGGACCGGAGAGGAUAGUGGAAUUCCCAGUGUAGUGGUGAAAUACGUAGAGAUUGGGAAGAACACCAGUGGCGAAGGCGGCUAUCUGGACGGUUUCUGACGCUAAGACGCGAAAGCGUGGGGAGCAAACAGG